rnacentral:rRNA from 1 species
GGUUAAGCGACUAAGCGUACACGGUGGAUGCCUAGGCAGUCAGAGGCGAUGAAGGGCGUGCUAAUCUGCGAAAAGCGUCGGUAAGCUGAUAUGAAGCGUAAUAACCGACGAUACCCGAAUGGGGAAACCCAGUGCAAUUCGUUGCACUAUUGCAUGGUGAAUACAUAGCCAUGCAAGGCGAACCGGGGGAACUGAAACAUCUAAGUACCCCGAGGAAAAGAAAUCAACCGAGAUUCCCCCAGUAGCGGCGAGCGAACGGGGAAGAGCCCAGAGUCUGAAUCAGUUGGUGUGUUAGUGGAAGCGUCUGGAAAGUCGCACGGUACAGGGUGAUAGUCCCGUACACAAAAACACACUGGCUGUGAACUCGAUGAGUAGGGCGGGACACGUGACAUCCUGUCUGAAUAUGGGGGGACCAUCCUCCAAGGCUAAAUACUCCUGACUGACCGAUAGUGAACCAGUACCGUGAGGGAAAGGCGAAAAGAACCCCGGCGAGGGGAGUGAAAUAGAACCUGAAACCGUGUACGUACAAGCAGUGGGAGCACCUUCGUGGUGUGACUGCGUACCUUUUGUAUAAUGGGUCAGCGACUUAUAUUUUGUAGCAAGGUUAACCGAAUAGGGGAGCCGUAGGGAAACCGAGUCUUAACUGGGCGUCUAGUUGCAAGGUAUAGACCCGAAACCCGGUGAUCUAGCCAUGGGCAGGUUGAAGGUUGGGUAACACUAACUGGAGGACCGAACCGACUAAUGUUGAAAAAUUAGCGGAUGACUUGUGGCUGGGGGUGAAAGGCCAAUCAAACCGGGAGAUAGCUGGUUCUCCCCGAAAGCUAUUUAGGUAGCGCCUCGUGAACUCAUCUUCGGGGGUAGAGCACUGUUUCGGCUAGGGGUCCAUCCCGGAUUACCAAACCGAUGCAAACUCCGAAUACCGAAGAAUGUUAUCACGGGAGACACACGGCGGGUGCUAACGUCCGUCGUGAAGAGGGAAACAACCCAGACCGCCAGCUAAGGUCCCAAAGUCAUGGUUAAGUGGGAAACGAUGUGGGAAGGCAUAGACAGCCAGGAUGUUGGCUUAGAAGCAGCCAUCAUUUAAAGAAAGCGUAAUAGCUCACUGGUCGAGUCGGCCUGCGCGGAAGAUGUAACGGGGCUAAACCAUGCACCGAAGCUGCGGCAGCGACGCUUAGGCGUUGUUGGGUAGGGGAGCGUUCUGUAAGCCGUUGAAGGUGGCCUGUGAGGGCUGCUGGAGGUAUCAGAAGUGCGAAUGCUGACAUAAGUAACGAUAAUGCGGGUGAAAAACCCGCACGCCGGAAGACCAAGGGUUCCUGUCCAACGUUAAUCGGGGCAGGGUGAGUCGACCCCUAAGGCGAGGCUGAAAAGCGUAGUCGAUGGGAAACAGGUUAAUAUUCCUGUACUGGGUGUGACUGCGAAGGGGGGACGGAGAAGGCUAGGCUAGCCGGGCGACGGUUGUCCCGGUUUAAGCAUGUAGGCGGAGUNNNNNNNNNNNNNNNNNNNNNNNNNNNNNNNNNNNNNNNNNNNNNNNNNNNNNNNNNNNNNNNNNNNNNNNNNNNNNNNNNNNNNNNNNNNNNNNNNNUGACUUGGUAAAUCCGGUUGCUUAUCAACGCUGAGGUGUGAUGACGAGCCACUACGGUGGUGAAGUAGUUGAUGCCAAGCUUCCAGGAAAAGCCUCUAAGCAUCAGGUGACAUUCAAUCGUACCCCAAACCGACACAGGUGGUCAGGUAGAGAAUACUCAGGCGCUUGAGAGAACUCGGGUGAAGGAACUAGGCAAAAUGGUGCCGUAACUUCGGGAGAAGGCACGCUGGCAUUAGGUAAAGAGACUUGCUCUCGGCGCCGAAGCCAGUCGCAGAUACCAGCUGGCUGCAACUGUUUAAUAAAAACACAGCACUGUGCAAACACGAAAGUGGACGUAUACGGUGUGACGCCUGCCCGGUGCUGGAAGGUUAAUUGAUGGGGUCAGCCGCAAGGCGAAGCUCUUGAUCGAAGCCCCAGUAAACGGCGGCCGUAACUAUAACGGUCCUAAGGUAGCGAAAUUCCUUGUCGGGUAAGUUCCGACCUGCACGAAUGGCGUAAUGAUGGCCAGGCUGUCUCCACCCGAGACUCAGUGAAAUUGAACUCGCUGUGAAGAUGCAGUGUACCCGCGGCAAGACGGAAAGACCCCGUGAACCUUUACUAUAGCUUGACACUGAAUAUUGAGCCUUGAUGUGUAGGAUAGGUGGGAGGCAUCGAAGCGUGGACGCCAGUCUGCGUGGAGCCAACCUUGAAAUACCACCCUUUAAUGUUUGAUGUUCUAACUCGGCCCCAUAAUCUGGGGUGAGGACAGUGUCUGGUGGGUAGUUUGACUGGGGCGGUCUCCUCCCAAAGAGUAACGGAGGAGCACGAAGGUUAGCUAAUCACGGUCGGACAUCGUGAGGUUAGUGCAAAGGCAUAAGCUAGCUUGACUGCGAGAGUGACGGCUCGAGCAGGUACGAAAGUAGGUCUUAGUGAUCCGGUGGUUCUGAAUGGAAGGGCCAUCGCUCAACGGAUAAAAGGUACUCCGGGGAUAACAGGCUGAUACCGCCCAAGAGUUCAUAUCGACGGCGGUGUUUGGCACCUCGAUGUCGGCUCAUCACAUCCUGGGGCUGAAGUAGGUCCCAAGGGUAUGGCUGUUCGCCAUUUAAAGUGGUACGCGAGCUGGGUUUAGAACGUCGUGAGACAGUUCGGUCCCUAUCUGCCGUGGGCGUUGGAAGAUUGAGAGGGGCUGCUCCUAGUACGAGAGGACCGGAGUGGACGCAUCACUGGUGUUCGGGUUGUCAUGCCAAUGGCAUUGCCCGGUAGCUAAAUGCGGAAAAGAUAAGCGCUGAAAGCAUCUAAGCGCGAAACUUGCCUCGAGAUGAGUCUUCCCUGGGGCUUUAAGCCCCCUGAAGGAACGUUAAAGACUAUGACGUUGAUAGGCUGGGUGUGUAAGUGCAGCGAUGCAUUGAGCUAACCAGUACUAAUGAUCCGUGAGGCUUAACCUU